rnacentral:rRNA from 1 species
GACGAACCGUGCGAACGUUGUUCGGAAUCACUGGGCUUAAAGGGCGCGUAGGCGGCCCCGCCAGUCUCGGGUGAAAUCUUCCGGCCCAACCGGAAAAGUGCCCGGGAUACUGCGGGGCUCGAGCGAGGCAGGGGCGGGGGGAACUUCCGGUGGAGCGGUGAAAUGCGUUGAUAUCGGAAGGAACGCCGGUGGCGAAAGCGCCCCGCUGGGCCUCUCCUGACGCUGAGGCGCGAAAGCCAGGGGAGCGAACGGG